UAAGAACAGUUUAAUCGGAUAAACUAAUUGGUAACAUAACGUCAACAACUUGAUUAGAACUGAUUGAUUGCUACAGUCUAAACACCUUAGAAUGAACUAAUUGAUCGUUUAAGCUCAACAUAUUUAACUGUUUGAACGACUGAACUCAAAUCCUUAGAAGAACUGCUUGCUUAACACAAUUUUAAAUCUCUGGAACAUCUGAUACUUAAAUUCAAAAUCUUCGAAGGAACUGAUUGGUUAUUGAAGCUUAAUUCCAAUUUUGUGAAAUCUGAUUGAUCGCUUAGGCUCUACAACUUCGAAAGUAGUGAUUGGUAAGCUAAUAUCAGUAUCUUUGGAAAAGCUACAUCACUUAAAUUAAAAAAUAUUGGAAAAGUAUUAUACUCAAUAUAUUUGAAAAGGUUGAUUGAUUAUUUAAGUUUAAAAACCACGAAAAGACUGAUCUGAACAUUUUUAGAAGAACUGAUUAUUAAGCUUCAUAUUUUAAGAACAGAUUAGUUAAUUAAUCUCAACAAUUUUGUACAAACUCAUUGACUAUUAAGCCCCUACAGCCUUGUAAACUUAAUAUCAUUGAUAAAACUAAUUGGUUACUAAAGCUCAAAAACGAACUGAUUGGUUAUAUAAACUGCACAUCUGCGAAAGAACUGUUUCUGAAGCUUGAUAUCUUCUUAAGAACUCUUUAAUUAUUGAAGCUCGAAAGAAAAUUCCUUGGUUAUUAAAGCCCGACAGUCUUGCAUGCUUGACAUUAUCAAGAGAACUAAUUGGUUACUGAAGCACAACAAUAAAAUCGUCGGAGGAACAGAUUAAGUUCAACAACUUCAGAAGUUUGAUUGACCACUUGAAUUCAGCUCUAACAACGGAAUUGAUUUUUCACCUCAGCUCAACAAUUUCGAAAAGACUAAUUGGUUGCCAAGUCCAACAUUUUUAAAAGAGCUGAUUGGUUAAUUAAGCUUAACAAGUAUAGAAGUAGUACUUGUUUGUUAAAACUUAACAUUUUCGGAAGUUGUGAUUAGUCAUCCGUUCUUAAAAUCAUAGGAAAAGCAUUAACAUGGUUAGAGUUUGUCGAUUCUGUUUCUCAUCUGCACAAACUGAAAGCGACCAAUUAAUUCAUCCAUGUAAAUGCUGUGGAAGUUUGAAGUAUGUUCAUAGGAUGUGUCUACUCAAAUGGUUACUGGAAUUGCAAAAGAAUGCCAAUAUAAUGGAAAACUAUUCUAGUGACAUUCGGCUGUGUGAAAUUUGUCGUUCUAGAAUUUUCAUUCGAAAGCCAAAAAAGACUUAUGCACUUCGCUUUUUAGAUUGGUUGUAUGGAGCAAUUUGUUUGACAAGUUAUGUAUACCUGCUAUUGUUGGUGUUUAUAAAGCUUUUCAUGUAUGCAAUAAUUAAUCUGCAGGAUAUUAAAAUGUGGAAAAGCCUACAAAAUAGCUGGCUUUCUAUUUUACUGGAUAUGGUUUUCAAAUUCUUAGAAAUGCUAGACUAUCAACAAAUACUGAUAUACUAUGUGGCGCGUUCUCCGUUUUUAAUGAAUAAUUUUAAAGAUAUGAAAAGUUACUUGAAAGUAACACAUUCAUAUGAUGAACUACUAUACCCAACGUUUUUCAGUGUUUUGAAGACUGUGUUCCAGCCUUCGCUAAGCCUUCUUAUUGUAAGAUGUAUAUUUUUCCCAUCAAUAUCAUACAUUAUACAAGAAUUUCUGCUUUCGAAUAAUUUGAAAACAAGCAAAUUGAUUGCAGCAUUAGUAGUAUUUAUUUUCAUAAAAACUAUGGUUCCAUUCACAAUUGAAUACUUAUUUCAUAAACACCACGUGAAGUAUGCAUUUUAUUCAUUCAACGCCGAAAGAGACUACUAUAUACUGAGAGAAGCCGAUUAUGUUGAAGUUAUCCAUCAUGAUCAGUUUUACCGCGUGCAAGUAAGAACUUAGUCAUAUUUUAAUCAUACAGAAAUAAGUUUAUAAUUUAAUUAUGUAAAUUUUUAUUAGCUAUUAUUAUUAACUAUUAUUACUUCAAUAUCUUUUAC